rnacentral:rRNA from 1 species
AGGGAAUCUUCCGCAAUGGACGAAAGUCUGACGGAGCAACGCCGCGUGAGUGAUGAAGGCUUUCGGGUCGUAAAACUCUGUUGUUAGGGAAGAACAAGUACGAGAGUAACUGCUCGUACCUUGACGGUACCUAACCAGAAAGCCACGGCUAACUACGUGCCAGCAGCCGCGGUAAUACGUAGGUGGCAAGCGUUAUCCGGAAUUAUUGGGCGUAAAGCGCGCGCAGGCGG